rnacentral:rRNA from 1 species
CAGUCGCCGCGGUAAUACGUAGGGUGCGAGCGUUAAUCGGAAUUACUGGGCGUAAAGCGUGCGCAGGCGGUUCGUUAAGACAGAUAUGAAAUCCCCGGGCUUAACCUGGGAACUGCAUUUGUGACUGGCGAGCUAGAGUAUGGCAGAGGGGGGUAGAAUUCCACGUGUAGCAGUGAAAUGCGUAGAGAUGUGGAGGAAUACCGAUGGCGAAGGCAGCCCCCUGGGCCAAUACUGACGCUCAUGCACGAAAGCGUGGGGAGCAAACAGGAUUAGAUACCCCCGUAGUCCCUGUCUCUUAUAC